rnacentral:rRNA from 1 species
UCAGCGGUAAAAGCNUGCAGCUUAACUGUAGCACGCCGUUGAAACUGGUUUCCUAGAGUUCGGUCAAGGGAGGCGGAACAGGUGAAGUAGCGGUGAAAUGCAUAGAUAUCACCUGGAACCCCGAUAGCGAAGGCAGCUUCCCGGCCCGCCACUGACGCUGAAGCGCGAAAGCGUGGGUAGCGAACAGGAUUAGAUACCCUGGUAGUCCACGCCGUAAACGAUGCUCACUGGUUCUCCACGAUAGACAGCGGGGGAUCAAGCGAAAGUAUUAAGUGAGCCACCUGGGGAGUACGUCGGCAACGAUGAAACUCAAAGGAAUUGACGGGGGCCCGCACAAGCGGAGGAACAUGUGGUUUAAUUCGAUGAUACGCGAGGAACCUUACCCGGGCUUGAAAGUUAUUGACGGAUCUGGAAACAGAUCUUCCCUUCGGGGCAAGAAACUAGGUGCUGCAUGGUUGUCGUCAGCUCGUGCCGUGAGGUGUCGGGUUAAGUCCCAUAACGAGCGCAACCCUUGCUGUUAGUUGCCAUCAGAGAGGUUUGAGCAAUCAAAUGAGCUGGGCACUCUAACGGGACUGCCGGUGCAAGCCGGAGGAAGGUGAGGAUGACGUCAAAUCAGCACGGCCCUUACGUCCGGGGCUACACACGUGUUACAAUGGGAGGUCACAGAGGGCUGCUACCCGGCGACGGGACGCCAAUCCCCAAACCCUCCCUCAGUACGGACUGGAGUCUGCAACCCGACUCCACGAAGCUGGAUUCGCUAGUAAUCGCGCAUCAGCCACGGCGCGGUGAAUACGUUCCCGGGCCUUGUACACACCGCCCGUCAAGCCAUG